CUCACGCUGACGUGCAGUCCCUGCCUGAGGGGUUCUUCCUGGCCCUCCACGUUCCUGAUGGUCUGUCUCUUCUUCCAGUGACGUGGAUGUGUGACCUGGUGUGCACGGCUGUGCCAGCGCCUGUGAUGCCUUUAGUGUGGCCAUGUUCAUUCCACUACAAGAGUAAAACUCAUGCACCAGAGAAGCUGCCCUGGGCCCGUUCGCACUCCCCGCUUACCUUCUGACCUUGCCUGAGGCUGCCGGACAGACACCGUGUUCAUGGCUUCUUGGAUUAGUUCUUCAUUUCUUUUUGGUUUCCACUGUGGCUGUGUUCUUCAUUUGAGAUAGGGCAGGAGCCGGGCUGUUCUUACCACCGGAAAGCACAAGCCUCCCUCAGACUAAAGCAGAACUGCAAGAAGAGGAGACUCCAUCCCAAGAACGGGGUUCGGCUCCUGGAUUCCACCACGCCCAGAGCCCGGGAUUAACCUCCAGGCUUUUCCAUCACAUAAGCCAAUAAAGUCACUUUUUUGUUUCAGCCA
rnacentral:lncRNA from 1 species